UAUAUGACUAAUUCAGCAAGAAAACACUUGGAGCUUGGGUUUCCACCGUCAGGACAGCUCUUCCCAGAGAAGAUGGAAAACAGCUUCUCACCUGUCCCGUGAGACAGAGAAGAGGAUGCUCCUGCAGCAAUGAACUGCCAAGGGGUGUGUCGGGAUGAGAGUGAGAAGGAAAGCAAAAGCCUCCUCUCUACACUCUUACUAUGAAGAAAGAAAGAUACGUUUGACUUUGGUAAUGUGAGUGUUAGAAGGACUAAAGCCUUCCUGGUACCACUGAAAACAGUACGGGCACUCUUUGGAAAGGCUGGCUUUUAAAAGUUUUUGUUUUGUUUUGUUUUUUUAAUUAAAAGAAAAACCACAGAAUUUGGGCCACAUCACCCCAAUACCGAUAAGAGUCUAAAGAAAAAUAACAUUUAGCAGGACCAUUUACUAGCACAUGCCCAGCAGUAAUCAUACUCUGCAAUACAACUGUGGUUAUACAAAAGUCAGUAGCCAAUGAAACGUGGAAUUUGGUUGAUGGCAACAGUAACCUCUGUUCAGGUCUGCCGCCCUCAUGUGGUUGGACGCGUGUUCAUAGCUAACAUUUUGUUGGUUCGAGUGAUAACCUGCUGGAUCCUAUUUCACACACACAGCUGUGGACCUCCGUAAGAAAACGGGGAGGGGACGGCUCUAAGGCACCGAUUCACAGAGCCCUGAGGCCCGGUCACUGGGCGGUGGCGACGCCAGGCUGUGGGCAUCACCAUUUCUUGGGAGAGGGUGUCCGCCCCUGCACUCGCAUCCUCGCUGGGCGCCCGGAGGCAUCCCUCCCCAGGCAGCGGCGGGGCUCCCCCGCUCACCUCCCGGCAUCCACCGGCGUCCGCCCGCGCGCCCGGAAGAGCUGGAGCUCGGAGGUCCAAACAAAGCCCUCGGGUAUUGUUGUCUAGUGCGCUCCGAAGGUCGCCUAGACUACCCGGCCCGGCCCCACCCACAGCGUCUGGCAAUCUAGACCAGUCUGGUACCAGGCAGAAAAUGGAAAAGCCUCCAGAAGAGGCUCCGGCAGAAUCAUCGGAAAACCAAAGUACAGCCAAGUCCCCAAAUGACAGCCACACAGACAGCCCGGAAGACAACAGACAGAACCAGGAUGAAGUGGAAGCAGAUGACCAGACUGAUCACGGAGCAGCUGACCAGGCUGCCCAGAUAGUGUCUGCCCUGGCUGAACCCAACGUAGUUAAUCAAGCUGACCACAAAGCAUGUGAAUCCAUGGGAGAAAGAACAUCUGAUCGGGCUGACCUCAGAGCAUCCAACCAUGCUCAUCAUGUUGCCGAUCGUAGAGCAUCUGAUCAGGUUAACCGAAGCAUGUCAGAACAGAUGGACGACAAGGCAUCUAGCCAAGCUGGUGGCGUGGAGGAGUCUGAACAGACUGACAGCCAGAUGUCUGCUCUGCCUGAACGAGGUACUUCUGAACAGACUGAACAAAGGGCUUCUGAGCAGAUUGAUCACAGAAUGUCCAGCCUAGCUGAGAGAAGAGCUUCUGAAGAGAUUGACUGUAAACCAUCUGUCCCAUCUUUACAAAGAGCCUCUGAGCAGAGCGAUCACAGAAUGUCCCGCCCGGCUGACCGAAGAGCUUCUCAACAGAUUGAAAGUAGAUUGUCUGGCCUGGUUGAGCGAAAAACUUCUGAACAGAUUGAUCAUAGAUUGUCUGACCAAGUUGACCACAGAACAUCUGUAAAGACGCACCACGAAGUGUAUGACCAAGCUACUAAACCAUCUGAACACCAGGCUGCUGACCCUGACAAGGCUGGCAGUGAAUCUGACCAGGCUGACGAUUUAGUGGAAGAAGAGGAUGAUUACACAGAAGACAACCUGUUUGACUAUGGAGCAUGUAGCCGGUCUGAUGAUAGAUUAUUCCACCAGCUUGGCUGCAGCAAGGAAGACAAAGAGGCUGACUUCAGAGUACAACCCUGCAAAUUUGAGCCUGGCCAGACAGAUGGCAGCAUAACCAAGGCUUCCCUUGAAACUGAAACGGAAAGUGUAGCUGAUCUGCAAGCAUUCAUCCCAUUUGAUCACGGAUUGACCAGUACUUCCCAAACAAAAGACCAAGCCUACUCCCCAAGAUUUCCCUCCAUCUCAUCCAAAUUGGACUAUAUCAUCAGUCAAGAAAAAACUCAACCCGUGGAAACCAAGCCUGUUGAUAUUUCAGAAUACCAGGAAAGAAGGAGUUUUCAGGCAUACAAUCAACCUUAUAAGAAGCAGUUACCUCCUAUAGUACAUGAAGAUCCUUAUCAAGUUUCACUUCGAUACGUGGAGAAACACCACAUUCUGCAAAUAUUCCAGCAGAUCACUGAAAAGCUAGUCUAUGAAAAGCCAGAAGACCCCCUGAGUUUUAUGCUGUGCCAGGAUCUUAGUUCCCCGACCAGGGAUCGAACCCAUGCCCCCUGCAUUGGGAUCACAGAAUCUUAACCACUGGACCACCAGGGAAGUCCCAUGCAAACCGCCUAUUCUUGUGAAUAAGAAGUUGACUGAGUAGACCUAACUCACCCUAAACCUCCCGGAUCAGAAAUUCAUUCAUUCAUUUGAAACUUACUCUAGUUUUGGUGAAGCAACAAGGGCAGAGGAAAAAAGACAACAAAUAAAUUAAUAAGAUAAUAAUCGACUGUGAUUAUUUUUUGAAGGAAAUAAAACAUGAUUAUAUGAGAAAAAGUCACUGGCAUGGAGAAGGCAGGGUACUUUAGGUAGGGAGAUAAGGAAAGGCUUCUCAGAGGAAGUGAGAGCUGAGCUGCAUUUCAAGGUUGAUGGGAACCACUGGGAGAAAUGGAUUUCCGCUAAUGGGAAUAGCAAGUGCAAAACCCCUGUGGCUGGAACAUACAUAGGGUGAAAGUAGUACCUAAUGAAGCUGCAGAAGAGUACAUGGGCAACUUGUAAGCCAUGGUAAGGAGUUUGGAUCUUAUGCUGAGGGCAGAGAGAACUACUGGACUUUUUAAACAAAGGAAUGACAAAAUCUGAUUUAUUGUCUUAAAAGUUCUCAGAACAGUUCUGAUAAAGAGGGUAGCUUUAAAUUGCAUUACAGAAUCUUCUGCCCCCAAAAUCUAAUAAAAUAAACAAAAACUUUAAAAAAUCAAAAGUAUAUAUACUUAGUAAAUACCAAAUUGAGAGGCCACAACCUAUUCACUGUUCUUCAAAAGCUGGUGGCCAGGGAAAGAAAAAGAAAUUUCUGGGGGGAAAGCAGAGAAACACAGCUGUAUUUGUAAGAAGACAAAGGUCUACAAUUCUUACUCUUACCCUUACAUCCAGACAGCGUUGCUUCAUCUUUAUUUGGACUUCUAACCAGGAAGUAGUGGGCAUGAGUGAGGGGGCCGGCUGACUCCUGACGGAGGUGCCAUUUCAGAGCUAGAUUCCCAAAUGAGACUUGGACCCAAGCCCUGGAGUCUUCGAACAUAAUUGGUCAGGCCAAGAAGGAGACAGCUAUGGGGACUGAGAAGGAACAACCAGAGAGAUGGAAGCACAAGGAGAAUAUGGUAUGAUGGAAGCCAGAAGAGAAAAGCAGUAUGAGAAAGAUGGCAUCAUCAGCUGUACCAUCGGCUGCUGAGCGACUGAGUAAAAUGAAGACAAACGAGAGUCCACUGUUGUUUAUAAAACAGAAGCAGACUCACAGACAUAGAAAACAAACUUAUGGAUACCAAAGAGGAAAGGGGGCUUAGGGAUAAAUUGGAAAUUUAGGUUCGCGGAUUCACACUGCUAUAUAUAAAUAAACAACAAGGGCCUACUGUGUAGCACAGGGAACAAUACUCAAUAUCUUGUAGUAACCUAUAAUGAAACAGAAUCUGAAAAAGUAUAUGCAUAUAACUGCGUCACUUUGCUGUACACCUGAAACACUGUAAAUAAACUGUAUUUCAAUAAAAAUAAAUAAUAAAUAAAAAUAAAUUUUAUAUUAAAAAAAAAAAAGACGAGUCCUCUGAAUUUGACAAAAUAGAGGUUGUUUGGAACUUGCCAAGGAGUUUCAAUGGCGUGGUAAGAACAGAGGCAAGGUUGAAUCUGGUUGAAGAUUAACAGUGUCCAAUAGAUCAAAACAAACCAAUUGAUUAGGAAAAGUAUACUCAUUCCACAUACUGAGACCAGAGAUAAUGUUUUCCCUUGGGACCUCUCAGACCCAACGUGUAAGACUGUACACAACAUCCUCAAUACCUCUGCAAUAAACACAACAAGUUCCAUAGACUUGCCUCCUAGUAUCAGACAUCAGAGAUAAUAUAGAGGCUUUUCUUCAUUGGGUAAAAAACUGGACUAACUGGUUAUUUUGUUGGUAUAUGAUUGGUAUAUGACU